UACGAAGGGUGCAAGCGUUACUCGGAAUUACUGGGCGUAAAGCGUGCGUAGGUGGUUUGUUAAGUCUGUUGUGAAAGCCCCGGGCUCAACCUGGGAAUGGCAAUGGAUACUGGCAGGCUAGAGUGCGGUAGAGGGUAGUGGAAUUCCCGGUGUAGCGGUGAGAUGCGUAGAGAUCGGGAGGAACACCAGUGGCGAAGGCGGCUACCUGGACCAGCACUGACACUGAGGCACGAAAGCGUGGGGAGCAAACAGG
rnacentral:rRNA from 1 species